GGCAAGAAAGACUUACCAGUUUGAUUUUGCAUGAGAGGCUCAGAUCCAAGCUCGCUUUGCUUUGAACGUAUGUGAUUCAGGCACCCUUCAUGUUGUGCUUCUUCCUCCCCCUCCCCUCAUAUCUUCUUCAUAGGUCGAGAUGUAAUUAGCCGUACGUAGUAAAACACAAAGUGAAGGAUGAUUGUGCAUUUGGUUUGAAGGAAAGCAAAGCAAAGCAUAAACUCAUUCUUCUCAAUCAUUUGUGGAUCAUUUAUUUCUUGGCCGCUGCAUACAGUGAAAAAGGUAGUCUGUCUGGCUUCCGUAUAUCACUUUUAAGAAAAAGUUUCCUUUAUUUGAUCGCCAUAUAUAGUUUGAUUUUCAUCAAUAUGUUCACUUUAUUUUCUUUCGUGGAAAUUGUUAAAAUUUCACAACAGACAAAAAACAAAUUAAACAAAAUGUGACUUUCUUAACUGAUAUAAAAAAAA